rnacentral:rRNA from 1 species
GACGAACGCUGGCGGCGUGCUUAACACAUGCAAGUCGAGCGGUAAGGCCCUUUCGGGGGUACACGAGCGGCGAACGGGUGAGUAACACGUGGGUGACCUGCCCUCAGCUCUGGGAUAAGCCUGGGAAACCGGGUCUAAUACUGGAUAUGACUCCAUGACGCAUGUUGUGGGGUGAAAGCCUUGUGCGGCUGAGGAUGGGCCCGCGGCCUAUCAGCUUGUUGGUGGGGUGAUGGCCUACCAAGGCGACGACGGGUAGCCGGCCUGAGAGGGCGACCGGCCACACUGGGACUGAGAAACGGCCCAGACCCCUACGGGAGGCAGCAGUGGGGAAUCUUGCGCAAUGGCCUAACGGCUGACGCAGCGACGCCGCGUGAGGGA